GUAUAUCAUUAAAUUAAAAAGAUUUGGCGGUCAUUAAAAAAAUCAGAGGAACCUGUAAAAUAAUUGAUAAUCCACGAUAAGAGUUACUUAUUAAUUUAUGUAUUGUUGUUUUUAGGUAAAUUUUAAUAAUUUAAUUAAUAACUUAAAAAAUUAUAAUUCAAAUCAAAAUAUAGUUUAUUUAAGUUAUGGGUUACAAUUAUUAUAUGAAAUUGGAUUUGAUAGUAA
rnacentral:rRNA from 1 species